GGGAUUAUGGUGGAUACCAAGGCACCAAGAGAUGAGGAAGGGCAUGGUAAGCGAGGAAAUUAUUCGGGGAGUUAAAAAUGAGCAUAGAUACAGAUAUUCCCAAAUAGGUUAACCUUUUUAACUGUUGCUGAAUCCAUGGGUAGGCAAGAGACAACCUGGUGAACUGAAAAAGCCAGAAAAAUAGAAAGCAAAAGAAAUUCCCGUAGUGGCAUCGAGCGAAAUGGGAGUAUCCUAAACCAUGGAAAUGAGGUUGUGGGAUAUCACAAUAUAAGCUUUGUGUUGCUAGGUGAAGCGGUUGAGUCCUGCACCCUAGAUGGUGAGAGCCCAAUACCCAAAAGCAUCAUUGGAUUACACUCUAACCUGAGUAGCAUGGGGCAUGUGGAAUCCCAUUUGAAUCAACAAGGACCACAUUGAAAGGCUAAAUAUUCUUGGGUGACCGAUAGCGAAGUAGUACCGUGAGGGGAAGGUGAAAAGAAUCCCCAUCGGGGAGUGAAAUAGAACAUGAAACCGUAAGCUCCAAAGCAGUGGGAGGAAAACAAUAUCUCUGACCCCAUGCCCAUUGAAGAAUGAGUCAAUGAAUUAUAGGCAGUGGAUUGGUUAAGGGAAUCCACCGGAGCUGUAGUGAGAGCGAGUCUUCAUGGGGAAAUUGUCAUUGCUUAUGGAUCCGAACCUGGGUGAUCUAUCCAUGACCAUGAUGAAGUUUGGAUGAAACUAAGUGGAGGUCUGAACUAAAUGAUGUUGAAAAAUCAACGAAUGAGUUGUGGUUAGGGGUGAAAUGCCACUCAAAUCCAUAGCUAGCUAUUUCUCCCCGAAAUGCGUUGAGGCGCAGUAGUUGACUGAACCAUCUAGUGGUAAAGCACUAUUUCAGUACUGGUCGUGAGAGUGGUACUAAAUUGAGGUAAACUAUGAAUACUAGAUUGCCCCAAUAAAAGGGGUAAAAGUCAGUUAGUGAGACGAUGGGGGAUAAGCUUCAUCGUUGAGAGAGGAACAACCCAGAUCAUUAGCUAAGGCCCCUACAUGACUGCUCAGUGAUGAAGGAACUACAAGUGCAAAGACAUCCAAGAUGUUUUCCUAGAAACAACCAACCUUGAAAGAGUUCGUAAUAGCUCACUGAUUGAGCACUCUUGCGCCGAAGAUGAAUGGGACUAAGUGAUCUUCCGAAGCUGUGGGAUGUAAAAAUACAUCGGUAGGGGAGUGUUCUGCUUCAGAGGGAAGCACUGGCACGAGCAGGUGUGGAUGAAGCAAAAGCGAGAAUGUCAGCUUGAGUAAUGCAAACAAUGGUGAGAAUCCAAUGCUUCGAAAACCUAAGGGUUCCUCCACAAGGUUCAUCCACGAAGGGUGAGUUAGGGCCUAAGAUCAGGUUGAAAGGCGUAGUCGAUGGAAAAUAGGUAAAUAUUCAUGUACUACAGGUAAAUAUUCAUGUACUACCCCUUGUUGGUCCCAAGGGAUGGAGGAGGCUAGGUUAGCCGAAAAAUGGUUAUCGGUUCAAGGACACAAGGUGACCCUGCUUUUUUCAGGGUAAGAAGGGGUAGAGAAAAUGCCUCGAGCCAAUGUCUGAGUACCAAGCACUACAAUGUUGAAGUAAACCAUGCCAUACUCUCAAGAAAAGCUCAAAUGACCUUUAACAAACAAGUACAUGUACCCGAAACUGACACAGGUAGGUAGGUAGAGAAUACCUAGGGGCGCAAGACAACUCUCUCUAAGGAACUCGACAAAAUAGCCCCGUAGCUUUGGGAGAAGGGGUGCCUCCUCAGGAGGUCGCAGUGACCAGGCUCAGGCUAUUGUUUACCAAAAACACAGGUCUUUGCAAAGUUGUAAGACCAUGUAUGGGGGCUGAGGCCUACCUAGUGACAGAAGGUUAAGGAAGUUGGUGACCUGAUGACGGGGAAGACAACGAUCGAAACCCCAAUGCACAAUGGUUGUAACUAUAACGGUCCUAAGGUAGCGAAAUUAUUUGUCGGUUAAGUUCCGACCCACACGAAAGGCGUAACGAUAUGGGCACUGUCUUAUAGAGAGACUUGGUGAAAUAA
rnacentral:ncRNA from 1 species